rnacentral:rRNA from 1 species
CGAACGCUGGCGGGUGGUUAGACAUGCAGUCCAACGAGAGCUCCUUCGGGGAGUGAGAGUGCGCACGGGUGAGUACACGUGAGCAACUGCCGGGAAGCCGGGAUAGCCCUCGAAAGGAGGAUUAUACCGGAUGUGGCACCCUGCGAUUGCGGGGAGCUAAAGGAUCAUUCACUUCCCGAUGGGCUCGCGGCCCAUCAGCUUGUUGGUGAGGGUAACGGCCCACCAAGGCGACAACGGGUAGCUGGUCUGAGAGGAUGGUCAGCCACACUUGGAACUGAGACACGGUCCAGACACCUACGGGUGGCAGCAGUCGAGAAUCAUUCGCAAUGGGGGAAACCCUGACGAUGCGACGCCGCGUGGAGGAUGAAGGCCUUAGGGUUGUAAACUCCCUGUCAAGAGGGAAUAAGCAAGUGAAGGUACCUCUAGAGGAAGGGGCGGCUAAUUCCGUGCCAAGCAGCCGCGGUAACACGGAAGCCCCGAGCGUUGUUCGGAUUCAUUGGGCGUAAAGGGUGCGUAGGCGGCGCGGAAAGUCCGGCGUGAAAGGCAGUGGCUCAAC